rnacentral:precursor_RNA from 1 species
CGGGCGGCGGGCGGCGGGGCGGGGCGGGCGGCGACCGCGGCCUCAGCGCGGUCCCUGGAGCGCCCGCCGCGCGGC